CAGUAGCCACGGUAAUACAGAGGGUGCGAGCGUUAAUCGGAUUUACUGGGCGUAAAGCGUGCGUAGGCGGCUUCUUAAGUCGGAUGUGAAAUCCCUGAGCUUAACUUAGGAAUUGCAUUCGAUACUGGGAAGCUAGAGUAUGGGAGAGGAUGGUAGAAUUCCAGGUGUAGCGGUGAAAUGCGUAGAGAUCUGGAGGAAUACCGAUGGCGAAGGCAGCCAUCUGGCCUAAUACUGACGCUGAGGUACGAAAGCAUGGGGAGCAAACAGGAUUAGAUACCCAGUAGUCCCUGUCUCUUAUACC
rnacentral:rRNA from 1 species